rnacentral:rRNA from 2 species
CCCUGCUCAGGAUGAACGCUGGCGGCGUGCCUAAUACAUGCAAGUCGAGCGAACAGAUAAGGAGCUUGCUCCUUUGACGUUAGCGGCGGACGGGUGAGUAACACGUGGGUAACCUACCUAUAAGACUGGGACAACUUCGGGAAACCGGAGCUAAUACCGGAUAAUAUGUUGAACCGCAUGGUUCAAUAGUGAAAGAUGGUUUUGCUAUCACUUAUAGAUGGACCCGCGCCGUAUUAGCUAGUUGGUGAGGUAACGGCUCACCAAGGCAACGAUACGUAGCCGACCUGAGAGGGUGAUCGGCCACACUGGAACUGAGACACGGUCCAGACUCCUACGGGAGGCAGCAGUAGGGAAUCUUCCGCAAUGGGCGAAAGCCUGACGGAGCAACGCCGCGUGAGUGAUGAAGGUCUUAGGAUCGUAAAACUCUGUUAUUAGGGAAGAACAAACGUGUAAGUAACUGUGCACGUCUUGACGGUACCUAAUCAGAAAGCCACGGCUAACUACGUGCCAGCAGCCGCGGUAAUACGUAGGUGGCAAGCGUUAUCCGGAAUUAUUGGGCGUAAAGCGCGCGUAGGCGGUUUUUUAAGUCUGAUGUGAAAGCCCACGGCUCAACCGUGGAGGGUCAUUGGAAACUGGAAAACUUGAGUGCAGAAGAGGAAAGUGGAAUUCCAUGUGUAGCGGUGAAAUGCGCAGAGAUAUGGAGGAACACCAGUGGCGAAGGCGACUUUCUGGUCUGUAACUGACGCUGAUGUGCGAAAGCGUGGGGAUCAAACAGGAUUAGAUACCCUGGUAGUCCACGCCGUAAACGAUGAGUGCUAAGUGUUAAGGGGGUUUCCGCCCCUUAGUGCUGCAGCUAACGCAUUAAGCACUCCGCCUGGGGGAGUACGACCGCAAGGUUGAACAG